rnacentral:misc_RNA from 1 species
UUUUUUUUUUUUUGGCUAAUAUUGAAUAAUGGGUCAUUGAGAAUCUGAUAGCUAAUUUCAGGAGCAGGUAUUAAGAGUGGUCUCAAUUUAGCUUUGGAGCAUGGCCAGCAUGGAAGUGGAGAAAUGAUCAUAUUUUCUUUGAAAGAUACUUCAAUGGAAAUGCUGUGAUUUUGAUUCCGAGGUAUGUAUGGGAGGUUGGGAUGCUUCUCCUCCAGGACGGCUUAAGGUGAAUGCAGGUGGAGCGUCAAAAAGAGAAACAAGACAGACUGAGGCAGGGUAUCCACUCAGGGACAAAGGUGGUGUUUGGGUGGCAAUUUUUUCUUAGUAUUUUUUUUUUCAAUGUGUGCAUAGUUGUGCGGUAUCUGUCAGUCAUGGUGUUGGCUUGGAGUCGUGGGAUGAGGAAAGUUAUUGUGGAAGAACACUCUCUAAGCACUGUUCAGAUCCUUCCGAGAAUGGAGGAGCCAAAUGAUCCUAUCCUAAUGGAGGCUUGGUUGAUGCUAUUCAAAAGCUGAUGCAAAUGGAUUGGCAGAUGAAUCAUUCCAAGUUUAUAGGGAAGCUAAUUUGUGUGCUGAUUGGCUUUUGAACUAAGGACUUCAGUGCCAAUUGGCAAUCCAUUUCACUCUUCUCCCCCUUAGUGUAGUUCUUAGGUGGGGAUAUGUGGGGAGUUUCCCUGCUCUAUGUGGGUUGGGCUUAUCUGCCUUGUAGUUAAUAAACCCCCUUCCUCCCUUGUCUCUGAAAAAGGGACAGAUGUUGGAAAAUGCUUACAAGUCUUUAUGCUAUUAGGUUAUCUGAGGAGGAAAUUAGGUGAAAUGAUUUGUGGCAAUGAAAAAGUAGAUAUAGGAUGGGUAUUCAAAGAUAUUCUAGAAGCACUUUCUGGGAGCUUGCACGUGAUAGAAUAAUGUCAUCUGGGAUACUUCGGGUAAGUGGAAAGAUGUUUUCGUGUUUAGAGCAGCUUAAUUUGAUUUCAGUUAAAGGCUCUGUUAUGGCAGGAAGAAGGAAAGAAAAAUCAGGGAGGAAAGAAAAUGUUUGACUAGGAUGUGAUUUGAUGGAGAAUCGGUUCCCAGAUGGAGUAAAAAUGAUAAAAAGAACUUUUAGAGCUGUUCCUAAGUGAUUGAGAAUGGUGGCCUUUUCUUGAGUUGAUUGAUUGUUAUGGUUGACAUUAUGGUUAUUUAACUCAAAUCAUGCUACUUCAGCUUCAUGCUUCUUCAUCUUAUAUUGUCAUCUUAAGUCAUGCAUUGUGUGCUCUUACUUGAUUGUUGACUAUCUCCAUAUGUUUAUUUUACCCUCAGGUGGAUAAUUUAAUCGUGUUUACUGACUCAUCCUGAAUGUUGCUUCUGUUUGACCUGAUAUUGCAGCUUUCCCAACGUACAAUUUCAGGCUCCUUAUUGAAGUAUCUUUCA